rnacentral:lncRNA from 1 species
ACGCACAAGCAAAGAAAAUGAAGAUGCAGGAAAUGGAUAAUGUAUUCAACAUCGCGGUCAAUCGAGCUCAAGAUCGGGUCAUGGGUUAUCCAAUUCAGUUCGAGACGCUACCCUCGUACAUACUAGAUCGUCAAACCAUGUUCCGAAUUAUGGAAGAAGAGCGUCGUAAGGCUUUGCAAUAUCUUAAUAGGACAACUUAGGAAGUGAACUUGAUUUAUGAUUUAUGUUAUGAUAAGUAUUAUGUAAAUCCCAAGUGUUAUGCAACUUAUGGGAUAUGAUGAUGAUGUCCUAAAACUUUAGUAGUUCAGGAAAAUAAUGUAAAUAGCAGUGAUGCUAUGGAUGUGGCGACCCCAAAUCCGGGUACUUGCAACCCGAACUCGGUUCUCCACGAUACCAUGUCUUUAAGCUGAAUAAUACUAAAUAAUAAUAUAUUCGAACUUAAUUUACAUACAUCAAAGUUUACUUCCCC